rnacentral:rRNA from 1 species
UACGAAGGGGGCUAGCGUUGCUCGGAAUCACUGGGCGUAAAGCGCACGUAGGCGGAUUGCUAAGUCAGGGGUGAAAUCCUGGAGCUCAACUCCAGAACUGCCUUUGAUACUGGCGAUCUUGAGUCCGGGAGAGGUGAGUGGAACUGCGAGUGUAGAGGUGAAAUUCGUAGAUAUUCGCAAGAACACCAGUGGCGAAGGCGGCUCACUGGCCCGAUACUGACGCUGAGGCACGAAAAGCGUGGGGAGCAAACAGGG